CGCUGGCGGCAGGCCUAACACAUGCAAGUCGAGCGGUAGCACGGGUACUUGUACCUGGUGGCGAGCGGCGGACGGGUGAGUAAUGCCUAGGAAUCUGCCUGGUAGUGGGGGAUAACGCUCGGAAACGGACGCUAAUACCGCAUACGUCCUACGGGAGAAAGCAGGGGACCUUCGGGCCUUGCGCUAUCAGAUGAGCCUAGGUCGGAUUAGCUAGUUGGUGAGGUAAUGGCUCACCAAGGCGACGAUCCGUAACUGGUCUGAGAGGAUGAUCAGUCACACUGGAACUGAGACACGGUCCAGACUCCUACGGGAGGCAGCAGUGGGGAAUAUUGGACAAUGGGCGAAAGCCUGAUCCAGCCAUGCCGCGUGUGUGAAGAAGGUCUUCGGAUUGUAAAGCACUUUAAGUUGGGAGGAAGGGCAUUAACCUAAUACGUUGGUGUCUUGACGUUACCGACAGAAUAAGCACCGGCUAACUCUGUGCCAGCAGCCGCGGUAAUACAGAGGGCGCGAGCGUUGUCCGGAAUCACUGGGCGUAAAGGGCGCGUAGGCGGUUCGUUAAGUUGCUGGUGAAAUCCCGGGGCUCAACUCCGGGGCUGCCAGUAAGACUGGCGAGCUAGAGCACGGUAGAGGCGGAUGGAAUUCCCGGUGUAGCGGUGGAAUGCGUAGAUAUCGGGAAGAAUACCGGUGGCGAAGGCGUUCCGCUGGGCCGUUGCUGACGCUGAGGCGCGACA
rnacentral:rRNA from 1 species